AUUGAACGCUGGCGGCAGGCCUAACACAUGCAAGUCGAACGGAGUGGCGGACGGGUGAGUAAUGUCUGGGCAACUGCCUGGUAGAGGGGGAUAACGUCCGGAAACGGGAGCUAAUACCGCAUACUAUCAGAUGAGCCUAGGUCGGAUUAGCUAGUUGGUGGGGUAAAGGCUUACCAAGGCGACGAUCCGUAACUGGUCUGAGAGGAUGAUCAGCCACACUGGAACUGAGACACGGCCCAGACUCCUACGGGAGGCAGCAGGGGGGAAUAUUGGACAAUGGGCGAAAGCCUGAUCCAGCCAUGCCGCGUGUGUGAAGAAGGUCUUCGGAUUGUAAAGCACUUUAAGUUGGGAGGCGUUACCUACAGAAUAAGCACCGGCUAACUUCGUGCCAGCCGCCGCGGUAAUAC
rnacentral:rRNA from 1 species